rnacentral:rRNA from 1 species
CCCUACGGGGUGCAGCAGGCCACUUCCUUGAGCGAAAUCCACCAGGAACGGCAUGGUGAGUGUCGCCCGCCCAUCCACGGCUUCGACGAUGCUCAGGUGCAACAGCCGCUCGAAAGGCGCACAGCUGAUCCAACGUUCCAUCUCGACCCGGUGCGGUCCCGUCGACCCUUUUUCUUCCCCCUCCGCAUUCACUGAUAUCGUCUCCAACGGUUCAGGCUCCUCGAUGAAUAAGUAUUUUAUUCCAGCACGAUAAAUGAUAUCAAACCCCUCGACAUACCCAACUGGCAUUUGAAAAAAGGAGCUGCACGUGCUGACCGUCAUUCUGCUCUACGUUGCCCUCGGUCUCAUUGCCGGAGUCCUUGCAGGACUGCUGGGAAUUGGCGGGGGAGC